CUACAAUUAUUUUGUGCUGAAAAUGAACACACAAAAACAAUUGAGAUCAAAAAAUUGUAUUAUGUUUACAGACAUAAACACAGUAUUUUGUACCAUGACAUAAGUGACAAAUGGGAACAUUGUUUUGUUAAAUGCAAAGUAUUACCAUCUCUACCGAGUGCAAAUGUGAAAGAAAACCCAGAUCACAGUGUGUGGCUCUGUCUGUCAAAGGUCACUGGACAGGUUCAUUCAGCGGAAUGUAAUUGCACAGCCGGGAGCGGAGAAGCAUGUAUCCAUAUUGGUGCAUUUAUGUAUGCCCUUUCUGAUCUCACUGCUAAAAAGAAGGACGGCACUCUAAGAUCAACCUCAAAAAAAUGCGUGUGGGACAGAUUUAAUAAUCCCCGGAAAAGAAAGCGAACGCCUAAAAAGUCUAGCGAAUUUACAUUUCGGAAACAUACCUUUGAGUCAAAAUUAGAGCCAGUCGAAAAUAACACCAGAAAAGAACUUCUUGCGAUUUCUGUAAAUGAGAACAGUUUCCGUUCAAAACUCGAAAAUAUGCAACCCAACAGCUGGAUGGCUUUUGAACUUUGUAGAAGAGAAGGAAGAGGUGAAAUUACCAAAGUUUAUAGAAAUUGGAUAUAACUUUAGUGAUAGCGUAGAUCUGAAUAGUGAAACUGUGAAGGAUAAAAUGUCGAAAAUGAUGGAUAUGCUACAAAUGGAUGAACUUGAAUGCCAAAGUAUUGAAAAAUUAACCAGAGGUCAGGGAAAGAACGUACUUUGGGAAGAUGAAAGAAAAUUACGUGUAACUGCAUCCAAUUUUGGUGAAGUAAUUUUACUGAAACAAGAGACUGAAAGAUUUAAAAGAAAUUGAGUGCAAUCUUUAAAGAAUAGUAACAAAUAUGAAUUUAAGAUCACAAUUGUGAAUUUCUCGCAAGCUUACCCUUGCUCCUAGAAUAUGUUUUUAUAAUUUUGAUGUCUCACUUUUCUCUAGAGAUUAACCCUUUACCACUUAGAUAUGUAUUUUCAAGCUUUUGUAGUUCCUUAAAAAGUUAAAUGUAAUAAAGUACCUUUAUUACUAAAUUUAAGUUUUAAAGGCUUCAUUUCCAACCCUUAAAUACUGAUGAGCAGCAAACAGUAUAAAACCUGAACAGACUGCGAGUUACUAGCAUGCUGUUCUGGUUUUAUGCUGUUUUCACUGUGCUUCCAAGUGGAAUAGGGUUAAAUAACAAAAGUUAACGCCAGAUCAGAAAAUAAUUUAAGUAACAACAGUACAGGACAUCAUUGAGGUCCCUCCUUUUUUAUGUUUCAAUAGUCAUUUAGCUCUACAAAGCAUAUAAAUAUUGUACAUAAAAGUGUAUGAAUGUAUAAAUAUUUAUCAACUGUUCAUAUUAUGAAUUUUACAGUAGUACAUGUAGAAUGCUUUUCAACGAUUUGUGUACGGUUCAUUAAUACCAUCACAACGUGAUUGUCAAUUGUUAUUCCGCUAAAUUGAUUUGCUCUUAAAAUGAUAAAUCAUAAAAAGAA